GACGAACGCUGGCGGCGUGCCUAAUACAUGCAAGUUGAGCGCUGAAGGUUGGUACUUGUACCAACUGGAUGAGCAGCGCACGGGUGAGUAACGCGUGGGGAAUCUGCCUUUGAGCGGGGGACAACAUUUGGAAACGAAUGCUAAUACCGCAUAAAAACUUUAAACACAAGUUUUAAGUUUGAAAGAUGCAAUUGCAUCACUCAAAGAUGAUCCCGCGUUGUAUUAGCUAGUUGGUGAGGUAAAGGCUCACCAAGGCGAUGAUACAUAGCCGACCUGAGAGGGUGGUCGGCCACAUUGGGACUGAGACACGGCCCAAACGCCUACGGGAGGCAGCAGUAGGGAAUCUUCGGCAAUGGACGAAAGUCUGACCGAGCAACGCCGCGUGAGUGAAGAAGGUUUUCGGAUCGUAAAACUCUGUUGGUAGAGAAGAACGUUGGUGAGAGUGGAAAGCUCAUCAAGUGACGGUAACUACCCAGAAAGGGACGGCUAACUACGUG
rnacentral:rRNA from 1 species